UACGAAGGGGGCUAGCGUUGUUCGGAAUUACUGGGCGUAAAGCGCACGUAGGCGGAUUGUUAAGUCGGGGGUGAAAUCCUGAGGCUCAACCUCAGAACUGCCUUCGAUACUGGCGAUCUUGAGUUCGGAAGAGGUUGGUGGAACAGCUAGUGUAGAGGUGAAAUUCGUAGAUAUUAGCUAGAACACCAGAGGCGAAGGCGGCCAACUGGUCCGAUACUGACGCUGAGGUGCGAAAGCGUGGGGAGCAAACAGG
rnacentral:rRNA from 1 species